CAAAAUCUUUGAGCCAAAUUAAACACAAGAAAAGUUUCUUCAAAUGGGAUCUCAGAAUGAGCACAUAGUGAUGUUACCAUUCAUGGCUCAUGGCCAUCUCAUACCUUUUCUUGCUCUAGCAAGGCAAAUCCGCUGCAGAACUGGCUUCACCGUCACCAUCGCCAAUACCCCUUUCAACAUUCAAUACCUUCGUUCCACCAUCAACUUCUCCUCAUCCCCACCUGAACCCAACAUCUGUCUCGUCGAGCUUCCUUUCUCCGUCGCCGACUAUGGCCUACCCGCCAACACUGAAAACUCUGAAAACUUGCCUUUAGACCUUAUUGGGAAAUUUUUCACAGCAUCUACAGGUCUUAAGAACCCAGUUCAUUGUCUUCUAUCUGAUAUUGUAGCGAAAGAAGGGAAGCCUCCUCUCUGUGUAAUAUCAGAUGUUUUCUUUGGAUGGGCAAAUGAAGUUGCCAAAAGUGUAGGUACUGUUAAUCUGAGCUUCUCUACCGGCGGCGCCUAUGGCUCCCUUGCUUUUAUUUNUUUCUUUGUGGUUGAAUCUUCCUCACCGGCAAGCUGGUUCCGAUAAGUUUCAUCUGCCGGGAUUUCCUGAUAGCUGCCGUUUUCAUAUAACUCAGUUGCAUCAAUUUUUGAGAAACGCAGAUGGUACUGAUUUAUGGUCCAAGUUUAUGCAACCACAGAUUUCACUUUCUUUGCAGUCCUUCGGAAUUUUAUGCAACACAGCAGAGGAAAUUGAGCCCCUAGCAUUGGAGUGGUUGAGGAAAUACAUUAAGCUUAGUGUUUGGACUAUUGGACCUCUUCUUCCACCUGCUGUGCUCAAUGGUUCAUCCAUUUCAUGUUCAGGUUCAAGCAUAAGUAUUCAGCGUG
rnacentral:misc_RNA from 1 species